GUCUACGGCCAUACCACCCUGAACGCACCUGAUCUCCUCUGAUCUCGGAAGCUAAGCAGGGUCGGGCCUGGUUAGUGCUUGGAUGGGAGCCCGCCUGGGGAUACCAGGUGCUGUAGGCU
rnacentral:rRNA from 1 species